GAUGAACGCUGGCGGCGUGCCUAAUACAUGCAAGUCGAGCGAACAGAUGAGGAGCUUGCUCCUCUGACGUUAGCGGCGGACGGGUGAGUAACACGUGGAUAACCUACCCAUAAGACUGGGAUAACUUCGGGAAACCGGAGCUAAUACCGGAUAAUAUAUUGAACCGCAUGGUUCAAUAGUGAAAGACGGUUUUGCUGUCACUUAUAGAUGGAUCCGCGCCGCAUUAGCUAGUUGGUAAGGUAACGGCUUACCAAGGCAACGAUGCGUAGCCGACCUGAGAGGGUGAUCGGCCACACCGGAACUGAGACACGGUCCAGACUCCUACGGGAGGCAGCAGUAGGGAAUCUUCCGCAAUGGGCGAAAGCCUGACGGAGCAACGCCGCGUGAGUGAUGAAGGUCUUCGGAUCGUAAAACUCUGUUAUUAGGGAAGAACAAAUGUGUAAGUAACUAUGCACGUCUUGACGGUACCUAAUCAGAAAGCCACGGCUAACUACGUG
rnacentral:rRNA from 1 species